rnacentral:lncRNA from 1 species
CUCGGAACGGUUCGCAAAUGAGAUUGCUCCAUUCAUAAGUUCAUACAUUGCACCUUAGUACAGACAUCAUCGUUUGUUCAAAAUACGGAAGACACUUAAAAGUAGAGAUGUUGUCACGAGCAGAUUCUUACUACACAUACUUCAAUGCUAAUUGAACACAAGAACUCGAUUUUGCUUGCACACAAUAGUAGGCAACGGAUCCCUGCUUAUUCAUCAGCCCAGCAUCUCAUCUCCUGUUUCAUCAUUUUUUUUGCUUUCUUCCUUUGCCUCCCUUCCUCCCCCUCCGCCUCUUCGGUCUCUGUUUUCCCUUCCUCUUCCUCUAGUGGUGCCACGAAAUACCUGAUGUAGCCCUUCUCUGCAAUUUUGCACUCGACCAUCAAAGGUAGCUUGGUGGAGAGACCGAUCUUCACUUGAUCAAACAGGGUAGACACCUUGGCGCGGGACUUCAUGUACCUCAGGUUCAAGGUCAAUGAAACUGGCCCUCGCAUAUGUGUAAGGGUAACACUAGCUUUUUCUGGCUGCAUUGAUACAAACAUGACCCAUUAACUAGUGCAGAUACGCAUAGACGGAUCUAUUCUUCAGUAGUUUCUUAAAAUACUAGUUGAAUGGCACAAGAUACUAAAGAUGUUACUCCAUAUGAUAGAACCAAUUGAAAUUUAUAGAAUAAACAGAUGUUAGUUUGCACUGCAGAGUAGUUAACCACGUCACCAAGAUUUUACAGUUAAAGGAGGAAAUAAUAAGCUAACUAAAAAACAAACAUCUAAUUCAACCCCAUUUACCGCUUGAAGAGCCAUGUUCCGCUUUAUGAAAUAUAUGUAGCUUCUGCUCUAGACAAAUUAACUUGCAAGUUAUGCAGACUAAACAUACUCCAAACACAGAAACCAACAUUAACAAACAAAGUGAAUUAGGAACUCAACACAGUAUAGUGAGACAACGAAAUUCUAAGGCACUAUGUAUGCAUGUUUGGCUACUCUGGUGCCUAUAACCUAGGUGAGGAACCAAGAAUGCACACUUGCUAAGAAUCUACAACACAUCACUGAUAUGGUUGUUCACUGCAUUUCAUGUUACAGUCACAUACAUAUAUUCCGUGGAGGAGGGUAUCCAUUCCAAUUUGAGGGGCUAAGAGGGUCAAACUAUUAAGUACCUUGUCAGUUUUGUUCGGCACAUGGGAAAUGUUCAUGCACCUUCUUUUUCGUGAAGUAAAGAAGCUGAUGACCUUCUCAUCCACCGUGAUGACAACUACAGCAGGAGAUGGAAAUGGUUCAAGGUACAUAACUAGAAUCCUCCAUGCGCAACAGUAACAGUUAGCCAUAUAAAUUGCCAGGUAAAUCUAUGUACCAUCGUCGUUGAUGACGCUGAGGGACUUGCAGUUCAACAUAAACUCCUUAGAGGGCAUGCAGAAAAUGGCCUGGUACUCUGACUCCAUAUUGUGCCAAUCCGGGAUUUUGAGGUGAUGGCUUCUGUCAUCCACAAGCCGCAAAUCCAUAGCCGUAGUUUUAGUCUUGUCUGUUCAUUUCCACAAACACAAAAUCAGCACAGGGUCAGGGCGAAGAGCAGCUAUCACAAAAGACGUGUUGGCACUUACCGGGCGACACGAAUGUUAUGGUAAUGUCUUCAAAGUUUUGGUCGGUGACCUUGAUGGUGAUGAUGUCACCAUCUUUGGAGGCGCGGAGGAAAUUGACUAUGUCGGCGAUUGCGAUGCACAUGGAGCGGUGUUUGUCGCAGCGGUAGAACUGGAAGACCUCGGGGGGGGGGAGAAGAGCGAGAGGAUGACGACCUGUUCGGUGUCCAGGGCCUGGAGCGAGAAGCCCUUGCUGGAGCAGUUGACGUUGGCCACAUUGACCAGGUCGAGGAUCGCCUCCAGGACAUCCUCGAAGAUGCCUCCCUUCGCCUUCGCCAUCCGCAGCUCCAACAUGGUACUAAAGAUGCUUCCCGUUUCAUCUUUUUUUUGCUUUCUUCCUUUGCCUCCCUUCCUCUCCCUCUGCCUCUUCGGUCUCUGUUUUCCCUUCCUCUACCUCUGUUAUCUUUGGUGCCAUGAAAUAUCUGAUGUAGCCCUUCUCUGCAAUUUUGUACUUGACCAUUUUUUUUGCUUUCUUCCUUUGCCUCCCUUCCUCUCCCUCUGCCUCUUCGGUCUCUGUUUUCCCUUCCUCUUCCUCUGUUAUCUUUGGUGCCACGAAAUAUCUGAUGUAGCCCUUCUCUGCAAUUUUGUACUCGACCA